rnacentral:rRNA from 1 species
UACAGAGGGGGCAAGCGUUGUUCGGAAUUACUGGGCGUAAAGGGCGCGUAGGUGGCCUUCUAAGUUGAACGUGAAAUCCCUCGGCUUAACCGGGGAACUGCGUCUGAUACUGGAUGGCUUGAGUUCGGGAGAGGGAUGCGGAAUUCCAGGUGUAGCGGUGAAAUGCGUAGAUAUCUGGAGGAACACCGGUGGCGAAGGCGGCAUCCUGGACCGGCACUGACACUGAGGAGCGAAAGCCAGGGGAGCAAACGGG